rfam:Picea glauca, whole genome shotgun sequence.
AUCAACAUGUCCAAGUGGUGAAGGACAGACUCGAAAUCUGUUGGGCUUUACUUGCAUAGGUUUGAAUCCUGUUGUUGACG